rnacentral:lncRNA from 1 species
AUUUUACUAAAUUAUUUUACUAAAAAGUUUUUUAGUAAAGAUCUGAAAGCAGCCGGGUGCGGUGGCUCAUGCCUGUAAUCCCAGCACUUUGGGAGGCCGAGGCGGGUGGAUCAUGAGGUCAGGAGUUCGACGCCAGCCUGACCAACACGGUGAAACCCUGUCUCUACUAAAAAUACGAAAAUUAGCUGGGCAUGGUGGUGGGCGCCUGUAAUCCCAGCUACUCAGGAGGCUGAGGCAGGAGAAUUGCUUGAACCCAGGAGGCGGAGGUUGCAGUGAGCCGAG